CACCAUGAUCUUGCGUGUGCGUAGGAAUUUUUUUGAAAUUACUGCGUUCCCCUACAACUUUGCCUACAGUUAACCAAAGGGUGAACACACGUGCUACAGUGGCAAUGACAAUGGGAAGCAAGGCUGUAAGGCGGAGCGAAUCCGGAAAGAUUGCCUCAGUUCGGAUUGUUCUCUGCAACUCGGGAACAUGAAGUUGAAAUCGCUAGUAAUCGCGGAUCAGCAUGCCACGGUGAAUAUGUACC
rfam:Triticum urartu cultivar G1812 contig219581, whole genome shotgun sequence.